UACGGGGGGAGCAAGCGUUGUUCGGAUUACUGGCGUAAAGGGCGCGUAGGCGGCCAGCACAAGUCAGUUGUGAAAUCUCCGAGCUUAACUCGGAAAGGUCAACUGAUACUGUGCGGCUAGAGUGCGGAAGGGGCAACUGGAAUUCUUGGUGUAGCGGUGAAAUGCGUAGAUAUCAAGAGGAACACCUGCGGCGAAGGCGGGUUGCUGGGCCGACACUGACGCUGAGGCGCGAAAGCCAGGGAGCGAACGGG
rnacentral:rRNA from 1 species